AGCGAACGCUGGCGGCAGGCCUAACACAUGCAAGUCGAACGAACUCUUCGGAGUUAGUGGCGGACGGGUGAGUAACACGUGGGAACGUGCCUUUAGGUUCGGAAUAACUCAGGGAAACUUGUGCUAAUACCGAAUGUGCCCUUCGGGGGAAAGAUUUAUCGCCUUUAGAGCGGCCCGCGUCUGAUUAGCUAGUUGGUGAGGUAAAGGCUCACCAAGGCGACGAUCAGUAGCUGGUCUGAGAGGAUGAUCAGCCACAUUGGGACUGAGACACGGCCCAAACUCCUACGGGAGGCCCAAGUUGGGAAUAUUGUGCAAUGGGCGGAAGCCUGACCUAGCCAUGCCGCGUGAAUGAUGAAGGUCACCGGAUUGUAAAACUCUUUCUCUGGGGACGACAAUGGCGGUACCCAGAGAAGAAGCCACGGCUCACUUCGUG
rnacentral:rRNA from 1 species